rnacentral:rRNA from 1 species
UACGUAGGUGACCAGCGUUGUCCGGAUUUACUGGGCGUAAAGAGCGCGCAGGCGGUCGUUCAAGUCGAGUGUGAAAGCCCCCGGCUCAACUGGGGAGGGUCAUUCGAUACUGAUCGACUUGAAGGCAGGAGAGGGAAGUGGAAUUCCCGGUGUAGUGGUGAAAUGCGUAGAUAUUGGGAGGAACACCAGUGGCGAAGGCGGCUCACUGGACCGGAACUGACGCUGAGGCGCGAAAGCGUGGGGAGCAAACGGG